UCGAGCGAGUCUGCCUUGAAGAUCGGAGUGCUUGCACUCUGUGAAACAAGAUACAGGCUAGCGGCGGACGGGUGAGUAACACGUGGGUAACCUGCCCAAGAGAUCGGGAUAACACCUGGAAACAGAUGCUAAUACCGGAUAACAACAGAUGAUGCCUAUCAACUGUUUAAAAGAUGGUUCUGCUAUCACUCUUGGAUGGACCUGCGGUGCAUUAGCUAGUUGGUAGGGUAACGGCCUACCAAGGCGAUGAUGCAUAGCCGAGUUGAGAGACUGAUCGGCCACAUUGGGACUGAGACACGGCCCAAACUCCUACGGGAGGCAGCAGUAGGGAAUCUUCCACAAUGGACGCAAGUCUGAUGGAGCAACGCCGCGUGAGUGAAGAAGGGUUUCGGCUCGUAAAGCUCUGUUGUUGGUGAAGAAGGACAGGGGUAGUAACUGACCUUUGUUUGACGGUAAUCAAUUAGAAAGUCACGGCUAACUACGUGCCAGCAGCCGCGGUAAUACGUAGGUGGCAAGCGUUGUCCGGAUUUAUUGGGCGUAAAGCGAGUGCAGGCGGUUCGAUAAGUCUGAUGUGAAAGCCUUCGGCUCAACCGGAGAAUUGCAUCAGAAACUGUCGAGCUUGAGUACAGAAGAGGAGAGUGGAACUCCAUGUGUAGCGGUGAAAUGCGUAGAUAUAUGGAAGAACACCGGCGGCGAAGGCGGCUCUCUGGUCUGUUACUGACGCUGAGGCUCGAAAGCAUGGGUAGCGAACAGGAUUAGAUACCCUGGUAGUCCAUGCCGUANACGAUGAGUGCUAAGUGUUGGGAGGUUUCCGCCUCUCAGUGCUGCAGCU
rnacentral:rRNA from 1 species